CAUUUUAGUCAUGGCCCUGACCAAGGAAUGACCUGUAGGGAAGAGCACAAAGGAGGAAGCCAGUGAAGAGUCUGCAUUUGAGCAAAAGCUCAAAGGGUAUGGACUCAGAAAAGGCAGCUCCAGCUUUGAGGACCCUGGACACCAUCACCCACUGGCCCCUGCUCCCAGGGCAGGUUGCAAGCGGAUGCCCCGUUGGCUGUGAUCACUCGGCUUCUCUGUAGCUCGCCCACCAUGCGCUCGGUGCUGCUCAGUGGCCACAGCCCGCCAGUCUCCUGUGGGAUGUCCCUGGCCCUGCCGUCACCCCUCCUGGUCCCUGCACAGCCACCUCUCAUCCUACAGCGCUGCAGUGUGGAUGCACCGCUGUGGUCAUAGCUGUCAUCGUCGUCCCCUACUGUGGGCAGCUGCUUCUGGACCGCACAGCUCAUCGUCUGUCCCUCCUGCUCAGUGGCAUUGCUGCUAAGUGGGGAUGCCUGCAUGGGGAUCCAGGUGGCCCUAUCUCAGAGCCCAUCUACUCAAUUCUUCCUGCUGUCUGCUCCCAACAAACCCUAUGUCCGUCCUUGAUCUCUGCCUCUAGCCCAGGGUAA
rnacentral:lncRNA from 1 species